ACAUCCAUGAAAAAAAAGAAUAUGUGAGUAAGGAGACCGUCAUUGAUAUUGUAAGAAAAGCUUCUAUACGAUGGCAAAAGAUGAAGAAGAUCCAUAAAUAUAGCAAAGAGUUCCAUAGCAAAAUCAAGCCAAUCAAACUGUAGCAGCUGAAUCUGUUGUUGGGAAAGAUGUAUAACAUUAUAAGGCAAUAAAGUGAGGCUAGAUAGAUGGGGAAAGA
rnacentral:lncRNA from 1 species